rnacentral:rRNA from 1 species
AACGAACGCUGGCGGAAGGCUUAACACAUGCAAGUCGAGCGCUCACUUCGGUGGGAGCGGCAGACGGGUGAGUAACGCGUGGGAAUCUACCUGGUACUACGGAAUAACACAGAGAAAUUUGUGCUAAUACCGUAUACGCCCUUCGGGGGAAAGAUUUAUCGGUAUCAGAUGAGCCCGCGUUUGAUUAGCUAGUUGGUGGGGUAAUGGCUCACCAAGGCUACGAUCAAUAGCUGGUCUGAGAGGAUGAUCAGCCACACUGGGACUGAGACACGGCCCAGACUCCUACGGGAGGCAGCAGUGGGGAAUAUUGGACAAUGGGCGAAAGCCUGAUCCAGCCAUUCCGCGUGAGUGAUGACGGCCCUAGGGUUGUAAAGCUCUUUCAACGGUGAAGAUAAUGACGGUAACCGUAGAAGAAGCCCCGGCUAACUUCG